rnacentral:tRNA from 1 species
GCCUGGGUGGCCGAGCGGUUCUAGGCGCUACAGUCUGGAACACUUCGGUCGCAGGUUCGAAUCCUGCCUCGGGCA